GUGCCAGCAGCCGCGGUAAUACGGAGGGUGCGAGCGUUGUCCGGAAUCACUGGGCGUAAAGGGCGCGUAGGCGGCGCGGGCAGUCAACGGUGAAAGCUCGGAGCUCAACUCCGAGUCGGCCGUCGAUACUCCCGUGCUUGAGCACUGUAGAGGCAGGUGGAAUUCCGGGUGUAGCGGUGGAAUGCGUAGAGAUCCGGAAGAACACCGGUGGCGAAGGCGGCCUGCUGGGCAGUAGCUGACGCUGAGGCGCGACAGCGUGGGGAGCAAACAGGAUUAGAAACCCUUGUAGUCC
rnacentral:rRNA from 1 species